rnacentral:misc_RNA from 1 species
UCGUAGAAAACAUUGUGUAAGUGGGAAGAAACAAAUUUUUCAGGAGAAAAAGAAACCUUACGCGGAUGCAGUGUAGACCAGGUUCGUGAGAAAGAGAAGCGCGUAUCGUUUAUUUGCUGUUAUUUGCGAAGAAAAUUCAAUGUUCUUUUCGGUUGGACAGAUAUUAAUUUAGGAAGGGAAAUUGCACUUAGAUUCUAUACCGCGAUGUUCUCAUUGCAACGUAGAGAACAUUCUUCGACGAGUGAUGGAAAUCUUUCAAUUUUGACGCUUACAGAGUCUUUUACGACCGCUCUUCGAUUCCACGAUUGGAUGGUGUUUUGUUAUUGGGUGCAGAAAUAGCGAGCGUUAAUUGGACGAUGUAUGUUAAUGUUUAUCUUUGGCUACAAUUUUUCGCGAACGCUUCAAUUUUGCGAACCUAUGCCGGAGAAGCGUGUGGAAAGAUUCGCGCGAAAGACAUCCGCGGAAAAGUAUACAAGCAAACGAAGAGAAUGGAGUACACGAGGCGUUAGACGAAUAGAUUGAUCCGUUCGUUCAAGGAGAAG